rnacentral:rRNA from 1 species
GACGAACGCUGGCGGCGUGCUUAACACAUGCAAGUCGAACGGAAAGGCCCUGCUUUUGUGGGGUGCUCGAGUGGCGAACGGGUGAGUAACACGUGAGUAACCUGCCCUUGACUUUGGGAUAACUUCAGGAAACUGGGGCUAAUACCGGAUAGGAGCUCCUGCUGCAUGGUGGGGGUUGGAAAGUUUCGGCGGUUGGGGAUGGACUCGCGGCUUAUCAGCUUGUUGGUGGGGUAGUGGCUUACCAAGGCUUUGACGGGUAGCCGGCCUGAGAGGGUGACCGGCCAUAGUGGGACUGAGAUACGGCCCAGACUCCGACGGGUGGCAGAAGUGGGGAAUAUUGCACAAUGGGCGGAGUCCUGAUGCAGCAACGCCGCGUGCGGGAUGACGGCAUUCGGGUUGUAGACCGCUUUCGCCUGUGACGAAGCGUGAGUGACGGUAAUGGGUAAAGAGGCACCGGCUAACUACGUG